GACGAACGCUGGCGGCGCGCUUAACACAUGCAAGUCGAGCGAUAACCAUGGCUUCGGCCAUGGGGAGAGCGGCGAACGGGUGAGUAACACGUGAGUGAUCUGCCCUCGGCACCGGGAUAGCCCGGGGAAACCCGGAUUAAUACCGGAUGGCCUCUCGAGCCCACGGGCUCGUGAGAAAAGAUGGCUUUGGCUUUCGGCCGAGGAGGAGCUUGCGGCGGAUUAGCUUGUUGGCGGGGUAACGGCCCACCAAGGCGACGAUCCGUAGCUGGUCUGAGAGGACGAUCAGCCACACUGGGACUGAGACACGGCCCAGACUCCUACGGGAGGCAGCAGUGGGGAAUCUUGCGCAAUGGGCGAAAGCCUGACGCAGCGACGCCGCGUGAGGGAAGAAGGCCUUCGGGUUGUAAACCUCUUUCAGGAGGGACGAAGCUACUCGGGUUAAUAGCCCAGAGGGUGACGGUACCUCCAGAAGAAGCCCCGGCUAACUACGUGCCAGCCGCCGCGGUAAAAC
rnacentral:rRNA from 1 species